UACGUAGGCAGCAAGCGUUGUUCGGAGUUACUGGGCGUAAAGGGUGCGUAGGCGGCUCUAUAAGUAUGGUGUGAAAUCUCCCGGCUUAACUGGGAGGGUGCGCUAUAGACUGUGGGGCUAGAGUGCGGGAGAGGAAAGUGGAAUUCCUGGUGUAGCGGUGAAAUGCGUAGAUAUCAGGAGGAACACCGGUGGUGUAAACGGCUUUCUGGACCGUAACUGACGCUGAUGCACGAAAGCGUGGGGAGCAAACAGG
rnacentral:rRNA from 1 species